GGAGCUUUAUAGAAGCAUAAGGGAUAUACCAUGAACUGCACAUAUUAAAUGUACGUGAUUUGACACUGGAACAUACGCAUGUACCCAGGAUACCAUCACCAUCAGUAAGAGAGAGCAAUUGCCUGACAUCAGGAGGCCUGCAGGAGCUGGGAAACUCUACGAGCCUUGGUUGUAUUUUCCAAUGUGAACCAAAUCUCUCUGGAUGUCCAAGAUGGAAACACUCUGCCACAGUCACUGAAGGAAACAAUGAACCCACACAACUAUUUAUUCAUUCAUUCAUGUAAUAAAAGUUCGUUGUUCA